CAUACUUCAGUCACCUCAUGUGAAAAUAGCAACAAACAAAAACUUUUUAAUUUGGCUUUGGCUCACUGCUGUACCCCUAAGAGAGCGGCUGCAUCCUUAGCAGCCAACUUUGGACGCUAAGAUAAGACACAUCAGUUUUCUAUCUCCAAUUACAUUUUAAGCUUCAUUUGUCAUAUCUCUUAGCACCACCUGUAGGUGUUAAGAACCUAAAAAAACCAUUUACACUAAAAAGGAUAUACAUAAACUGAUUUAAAAUAACUUUUAGCUCUGUACUAAAUGCUAAGCUUAGCGCCUACCCUCAUAUCCCUUGGCACUGAUGCUGACCAAUGUCUCAC
rnacentral:lncRNA from 1 species